UUAUGGGGAGUGGCUGUGGUCUGUGUAGGGUGGUUUUGAGAGUGUGUUUGUUGAAAUGCCUUUGAAAUGCCUCACUCACCAAGACCCAUUUUAAAUGGCAACACCCUCAAUGUAAACAUCACCGGGACCAGUAUCUCAGAACUGGAUGCGAGGGAUAGCUUGCACUUGGUUCUGAACGUAGGACUGUCAUUCCAGGAGAAAUGCACACAGUCACAACAGUUAGUCUGUUACCAGACCAAGAGUCACACUUGCAAGUAAAGUCACUGAUGCCGUGAAAGCAGGUGUCUAUGUGGGGUCCACCCUGACCACGGCCAACUCUCUGUCCUCAUAUGCUACCAUUGUGAAGUGAACAUGGUUACCGUUAGCGAUGCCUAUUGGCUAGACUAUUCUGACUCAAGCCAGAACUGAUGGGGCACAAUUGAAAACUUCCUUACUAAUGCUGAUGUCAAUUAUUUUGAAUCUAUGGAGAGAAAUGAGGCUUUUAUUUUUUUUUAAUAUUUUCAACUGGUAAAUAAAGGGUUUACAGUAAAUGCAGUUGUUCAUACAAGUGUAAAAUUUCUCAAUUUUCUGCAAAACACUCUCACCCCCAGCCUAGGUCCUCCUCCACCAUCUUGCACCAAGAUCUGAACAUCCUCCCUCCUCCCCAGAGUCCUUUACUUUGAUGCAACACACCAAACGCAGUCUAAGUUCUACCUUCUGUUUCCCCUUUCUGUUGUUAUUUCUCAACUUCUGUCCGCGAGUGAGAUCGUCCCAUAUUCACUCUUCUCUUUCUGGCUUAUUUGACAUGAUACCUUCAAGCUCCAUCCAAGAGGAUAUUUUUAAUACUGCUCUUUCUGGAAAUGUUUUACUUAUUUAAAUGUUUUACGUAUGGAGAUAGAUAGAAGAAGGGAGAGAUAGGGAGAGAGAGAGAGAGACACCUACAACCCUGCUUCACCACUAAUGAAGCUCCCCCCAACCCCACCCUGCAGGUGCAGACCAGAGGCUUGAACCUGAGUCCUUGAACAUGCUCUACUGGGCGUGCUACCGCUUGGCUGUUUUAAUGAUCCCCUUAAAGAAAAGUAUUUGUGCACAAACUCAUGGGCUUUUUUUUUUCUCCCUCUCUAUGAAAAGGAUAGUCAACCUGUUAACCCUCAAAUAUAUAAUGGAGUGUUGUCACCCAUAAAGCUGGUGUUUUUUAAUAUGCCCCAAAUGUACUUAUUUUGAAUAA